UACGUAAGGGGCUAGCGUUAUCCGGAAUUACUGGGCGUAAAGGGUACGUAGGCGGUUUAUUAAGUCAGGGGUGAAAGGCUACGGCUCAACCGUAGUAAGCCUUUGAAACUGAUAAACUUGAGUAUGGUAGAGGAAAGUGGAAUUCCUGGUGUAGCGGUGAAAUGCGUAGAUAUCAGGAGGAACAUCGAUGGCGAAGGCAGCUUUCUGGGCCAUUACUGACGCUGAGGUACGAAAGCGUGGGGAGCGAACAGG
rnacentral:rRNA from 1 species